AGAGUUUGAUCCUGGCUCAGAACAAACGCUGGCGGCGGGCCUAACACAUGCAAGUCGUACGAGAAAGGGUCCUUCGGGACCUGGGGAAAGUGGCGCACGGGUGAGUAACGCGUGGAUUAUCUGCCCUUCUUCUGGGAAUAACUCAUCGAAAGGUGGGCUAAUACCGAAUAAUACUGUGAGACCUUGGACGAUCAGUCACCGAGAGGCUCUGCUUGCAUGCCCUCGCUGAAGGAUGAUUCCGCGUACCAUUAGGUAGAUGGUAGGGAAAUGGACUACCGAGGCGAGGAUGGAUAGGUGGACUGAGAGGAUGAUCACUCACACUGGAACUGAACUCCGGUCCAAACUCCUACGGGAGGAUAUUGUGAGGAAUCUUGCGCAAUGGGGGCAACCCUGACGUGCAACGCCGCGUGAGUGAGGAAGGUCUUCGGAUCGUAAAGCUCUGUCAGAUGGAAAGAACCGCAUAGUGGGUGAAUAUCCCCUAUGUCUGACGGUACCAUCAAAGGAAGCACCGGCUAACUCCGUGCCAGCAGCCGCGUGUAAUACGGGGGGUGCAAGCGUUGUUCGGAAUUAUUGCGGCGUAAAGAGCGUGUAGGCUGGCCUGAUGUGUCAGAUGUUCAACCUCCUGAAUCUUAACCCAAUAAGUGCAUUUGAAACUGUCAGGCAUGAGUAGGGGAGAGGCGAAGUGGACUUCCUAGUGUAUAGAUGUAAUUCGUAAAUAUCAUGAGGAACGCCGGUGUCUAAAGCGACUUCGUGGCUCUAUACUGACGCUGAGACGCGAAAGCGUGAGUAGCAAUCUGGAUUAUAUACUCUCGAAAGCCAUACGCAGCUAGACGAUGUGCACUAGUGAUAGGUGUAUGGACCACCCUCAGUGGCUGAAGCUCACCGCACUGAGGUGAACCGCCUGGAGAGCUACGAUCUCAAGAGUAAAGACUCGAAGGCACUC
rnacentral:rRNA from 1 species